GCUCAAGAUCAGCUCCAGAUCACAGUGUAUGGAUGGUACAAUCACCGUCUGUGGAUGUUAGGAUGGUCCUGAUUUCCUCUGGUAUCGUAUCCCUGUGCCAAUAAUCCAUGUGGUGUAUUCCAGAUGAUGCUCCAGUGAUAUAUAUGGGAUAUAAAAGAACAGGAAUAGUGUUCUCGGUAUUAAUAAAACAAAUAAAAUACAGAGAGAAAUAUA